rnacentral:rRNA from 1 species
GGAACGGGUGAGUAACACGGUGGGUGAUCUGCCCUGCACUUCGGGAUAAGCUUGGGAAACUGGGUCUAAUACCGGAUAGGAGCCAUCUUUAGUGUGGUGGUUGGAAAGUUUUUUCGGUGUAGGAUGAGCUCGCGGCCUAUCAGCUUGUUGGUGGGGUAAUGGCCUACCAAGGCGGCGACGGGUAGCCGGCCUGAGAGGGUGUACGGCCACAUUGGGACUGAGAUACGGCCCAG